UAAUACAUAAAACUACCACCCAGACAGGC
rnacentral:piRNA from 1 species